GACGAACGCUGGCGGCGUGCUUAACACAUGCAAGUCGAACGGAGUUACGUAUGAAGUAUUUCGGUACGGACUAUGUAACUUAGUGGCGAACGGGUGAGUAACACGUGGGCAACCUGCCCUUAACCGGGGGAUAACAUUGUGAAAACAGUGCUAAUACCGCAUAACAGAGUAUCGGGCAUCCGAUAUUUUAAAAGGAGCAAUCCGGUUUAGGAUGGGCCCGCGUCCAAUUAGCUAGUUGGUGAGGUAACGGCUCACCAAGGCUACGAUUGGUAGCCGAACUGAGAGGUUGAUCGGCCACAUUGGGACUGAGACACGGCCCAGACUCCUACGGGAGGCAGCAGUGGGGAAUUUUGGACAAUGGGCGCAAGCCUGAUCCAGCCAUGCCGCGUGAGUGAAGAAGGCCUUCGGGUUGUAAAGCUCUUUCGGCGGGGAAGAAAUCGCAUCUCCUAAUACGGGGUGUGGAUGACGGUACCCGAAUAAGAAGCACCGGCUAACUACGUG
rnacentral:rRNA from 1 species